GGGGUUGUGGCUCAGCAGUAGAGCGCUCACCUAACAUGUGGGAGGUGCUGGGUUCAAUCCUCAGCACCA
rfam:Ictidomys tridecemlineatus contig071961, whole genome shotgun sequence.